rnacentral:rRNA from 1 species
UACGGAGGGUGCAAGCGUUGUCCGGAUUUAUUGGGCGUAAAGAGCGUGUAGGCGGCCAGGUAGGUCGGUUGUGAAAACUGGAGGCUCAACCUUCAGAGGUCGACCGAAACCAUCUGGCUAGAGUCCGGGAGAGGAGAGUGGAAUUCCUGGUGUAGCGGUGAAAUGCGCAGAUAUCAGGAAGAACACCCGUGGCGAAAGCGGCUCUCUGGAACGGUACUGACGCUGAGACGCGAAAGCGUGGGGAGCGAACAGG